ACUAUAUGUUCUAAAUGAAUAAAAAAGGCUCAUUAUGCACAUAUUUAUGUGAAAUAUGAUAGAUUUUUUUUCUCUUCAAGGAAUAAUUUCUGCAAGUCACUAAGUUUUUAGAGUUUCCUUUAUUUUAUAGAUAUUCAAUGAAAUUAUUUGAAGUAUUAAAUUUUGGUAAAUUUUAUGAUACUAAAAGGUUAUAUGGAUGAAAAAACAGCAUGCGUGUAUGACAAUAGGGCUUAAAUUUUUAAUGUCUCUUAAUUUUUCAGUGACAUUUAAACAGGAAUUGUCAUCACCAAUAGACGAAUUUCACAUUCCUAAGAGUUUCCUCCAAUUGUCGGCGUAUCGCUCAUUUUCCCCACUUUGUCCUUUGUCCUGUUCUGUGGAUGCCCUUAGACAGUGUCUACCCAUCACUCCAUCUGAAAUCACUUGUUCUGUGCAUAUUUCUCUCUCAAACUUAAACUACAGAGAACCUGUGGAUAGAGGAUGAAGAGUGACCUUGGACUAGUUUUCUAGGUCAAAGAUCAUAGGUGAUGUGAAGAAAACCAGGAAACUGAUGUUGAAAGAAGUACUUAAUGACCCUUAUGAAUGGACUUAAAUGUGAAAGACUGUUCCAUUGUU